GAUGAACGCUGGCGGCGUGCUUAACACAUGCAAGUCGCGCGGGAGCUUGUGGAUAGCUGCCUCUCCCCGAGAUCACUAGUCAGACUGGUGAAUGAGGGGUAACCGCCUUACCAUCCUCCCUAUGAUAGCGCGAUAGCCUCGGGACACCGGGCUUAAUACCGCAUUUAACCGUAUAAGCACAUGUUUCAACGGUCAAAGAUUGAUCGGUCAUAGAUGGGCUCGCGUCUGAUUAGCUAGUUGGUGAGCUAACAGCCCACCAAGGCGACGAUCAGUAGCCGGUCUGAGAGGAUGAACGGCCACAUGGGAACUGAGACACGGUCCAAUCUCGUACGGGAGGCAGCGGGGGGGAAUAUGGCACAGUGAGGUAAAGCGUGGUGUGGCGACGCUGCGUGAAGUAAGAAGGUAUUCGGAGCGGAAAGUGCGGUCCUAGGGGAAGUUUUUGACAGUACCAUAGGAAAAAGCACCGGCUAAUUCCGUG
rnacentral:rRNA from 1 species